rnacentral:lncRNA from 1 species
GGCGUUUUCAACCUUCAGUCUGCUGGGAGGAGCUCAACCCACGGAGAAUUACAGAGCAUUGAAGACACUUGUUCCCCUGUUAACUUAUAUUAGUGCACUCAUCUACUGUGCACUGAGACGAUGCCAGUCCGGACUGCUCUGCACCUCUUCAUCUAGCACUGAAACCUUUGCAAGACACAGAACUGAUCAAAGGUGGUGAUCAACUGAACAAAACAGACUGCAACUAAAACUCCGAAUUCUCAGAAUUGCAAUGUAAGUGAAUGCAACUAUUUACAUUUAUAGCAGUGUGGAACAAAAAGUCAGCAACAAAUCCUGCUCCGGU